AGAGAGAGACAUGCGCGCAUAUCAAUAAGCGGAGGAAAAGAAACUAACAUAGGAUUCCCUCAGUAACGGCGAGUGAAGCGGGAAGAGCUCAAAUUUGAAAUCUUCAAGGGUUCUACCUUUACGAAUUGUAGUUUAAAGAAGUGUUUUCUGUUGAGGUUUUGGUAAAAGUUCUUUGGAAUAGGACAUCAUAGAGGGUGAGAAUCCCGUAUUUGACCAUUACUUUCCAACUUUGUGAUACACUUUCAAAGAGUCGGAUUGUUUGGGAAUGCAGUCCAAAAUGGGUGGUAAAUUUCAUCUAAAGCUAAAUAUUGGCGAGAGACCGAUAGCGAACAAGUACCGUGAGGGAAAGAUGAAAAGAACUUUGAAAAGAGAGUUAAACAGUACGUGAAAUUGUCAAAAGGGAAGCGUUUGACACCAGUGUUGUUUUCUCGAAAAUCAAUUAAAGAAGCAUGAUUUAUGUAAGUUGUAUUAGACUUUAUCAGCUAUUCUGCCUCUUAGUUCUUGAGCUUUUUUUAAUGCACUUUUCGUUUAACAAGUCAACAUCAAUUUCUUUUGUUGUAAAAGGGUCAUUGGAAGGUGGCUUUCUUUUCGGAGAAAGUGUUUAUAGCCUUUGGCCUCUGCAAUCGGAGAGAUUGAGGUCUGCAGCGUAGAUCCUUCGGGGUUAGAUACAUUUGUGCUAAGUUAUAGCCUUUUCAUAGACAACUUGUUGACUAUGAUCAGUCAUGUAGCUUACUCGCUUAUGCUAUUUUACCUACGCUUAGGAUGUUGAUGUGAUACUGCGAGCA
rnacentral:rRNA from 1 species